rnacentral:rRNA from 1 species
CUGUGUUGGACCGUGUACAAGUCUCCUGGAAGGGAGCGUCAUAGAGGGUGAGAGUCCCGUCUUUGACACGGACUACCAGUGCUAUGUGAUGCGCUCUCGACGAGUCGAGUUGUUUGGGAAUGCAGCUCAAAACGGGUGGUAAAUUCCAUCUAAAGCUAAAUACAGGCGAGAGACCGAUAGCGAACAAGUACCGUGAGGGAAAGAUGAAAAGAACUUUGGAAAGAGAGUUAAACAGUACGUGAAAUUGCUGAAAGGGAAACGCUUGAUGUCAGUCGCGUCGGCCGGGGAUCAACCUUUGCGUUCUCGCUGGGUGUAUUUCCUGGUCGACGGGUCAGCAUCAGUUUGGGUCGCCAUACAAGGGCGAGGGGAAUGUGGCACCCCUUUUGGGGUGCGUUAUAGCCUUUCGUCGGAUGUGGUGGUCGAGACUGAGGAACUCAGCACGGCUUCGGCAGUGUGCUUUUAGGAUGCUGGCAUAAUGGCCUUAAGCGACCCGUCUUGAAACACGGACCAAGGAGUCUAACAUGCCUGCGAGUGUUUGGGUGGCAAACCCGAGCGCGCAAUGAAAGUGAACGUUGAGACCUCUGUCGUGGAGGGCACCGACGCCCGGACCUGAGUCUUUGACUACGGAUCUGCGGUAGAGCAUGCAUGUUGGGACCCGAAAGAUGGUGAACUAUGCCUGAAUAGGGUGAAGCCAGAGGAAACUCUUGGUGGAGGCUCGGUAAGCCGAUUCUUGACGUGCAAAUCGAUCGKCCGAAUUUUGGGUAUAGGGGGCGAAAAGACUAAUCCGAACCAUC